AGGGGAGUGAAAAAGAACCUGAAACCGUGUACGUACAAGCAGUGGGAGCCUCUUUAUGGGGUGACUGCGUACCUUUUGUAUAAUGGGUCAGCGACUUAUAUUCUGUAGCAAGGUUAACCGAAUAGGGGAGCCGAAGGGAAACCGAGUCUUAACUGGGCGUUAAGUUGCAGGGUAUAGACCCGAAACCCGGUGAUCUAGCCAUGGGCAGGUUGAAGGUUGGGUAACACUAACUGGAGGACCGAACCGACUAAUGUUGAAAAAUUAGCGGAUGACUUGUGGCUGGGGGUGAAAGGCCAAUCAAACCGGGAGAUAGCUGGUUCUCCCCGAAAGCUAUUUAGGUAGCGCCUCGUGAAUUCAUCUCCGGGGGUAGAGCACUGUUUCGGCAAGGGGGUCAUCCCGACUUACCAACCCGAUGCAAACUGCGAAUACCGGAGAAUGUUAUCACGGGAGACACACGGCGGGUGCUAACGUCCGUCGUGAAGAGGGAAACAACCCAGACCGCCAGCUAAGGUCCCAAAGUCAUGGUUAAGUGGGAAACGAUGUGGGAAGGCCCAGACAGCCAGGAUGUUGGCUUAGAAGCAGCCAUCAUUUAAAGAAAGCGUAAUAGCUCACUGGUCGAGUCGGCCUGCGCGGAAGAUGUAACGGGGCUAAACCAUGCACCGAAGCUGCGGCAGCGACGCUUAUGCGUUGUUGGGUAGGGGAGCGUUCUGUAAGCCUG
rnacentral:rRNA from 1 species